AUCUUUGCCCUUGGGGCAAUGACGCAGUUAGUGAGGUGAAACCGAGACACGUCAAUUGCUGGUUGAAACUAUUUCCAUUUCCAC
rnacentral:snRNA from 1 species